AAUAAAUACAAAUAAAUUUUAUUAUUUAGAGUUAAAAUGAUAUGGUUUAAUUUAUAAUUAAAUUUUUUAGGUUAAAUUUUAAAUUUAAAAAAUUAUUAAAAAUCAACAUAUUUUAAGCUCAGAAAUUUUAUUAAUAGACUAGGAUUAGAUACCCUAUUAUAAAAAAUGUAAUUAUGAAAAAAAUAGAGUAGUAUUAGAUAUAUUCUUAAAACUUAAUAAAUUUGGCGGUAUUUUAAUCUAUUCAGAGGAACUUGUUUUAUAAUUGAUAAUCCUCGCUAAAUCUUACUUAAUUUAAUUAAUUUGUAUACCAUCGUCAUAAGAAUCUCUUAAAAAAGAAAAAAUUUUCUUAAUAAUCAAUUAAUUAAUAUGUCAGAUCAAGGUGCAGUUUAUAGUUAAGAAAAAAUGAGUUACAAUAAAAUUAUUUAUACGAAUAUUUAGUUGAAAUACUAAAUUAAAGGUGGAUUUGAUAGUAAAGUAAAUAAUUAAAUUUACUUGAUUAUAGUUCUAAAAUAUGCACAUAUCGCCCGUCGCUCUCGUUAUUUAAAAUGAG
rnacentral:rRNA from 1 species